AUUUUGUUCUCAUCCUUUUGGGCCAAAAGGAAACUAUGACCACAACAAUUGGGCCAUAAUGCAAAUACAAAAACUUUUGGGGUCACUUUGUAAAAACACAAUAGUCCACAACUUCAUGUAAUUACAACUAGAUCCCAAAAUUUUAUUAAUGUAAAAACAUCAUUAAAGGAUCAAAACAAUUUGUCCUUUAGAGUUUUUGGGCCUUAACGUAAAAACGUAAACUUUUGGGCCAAAGUGCAAAUACACAAAAGUAUCAAAACUUUAUGUAAUUGCAUAAAAGACCCCAAAAGUACCCCCACUAGGGGGUGGCCGGUUUUGGAGUGUGAAUGAGUGUGAAAGGGAUUUUAUGCAACUUGAUUUUGGUGGGUGAGGUAAAGGUGAAAUUGAUGGUUUGUAAGAAAAUGUUUUGUAAAACAUUAAAGAGUUUAGACAAACAUUAAAGCCAAAAUUAAUGCUUCACCAAUAACUUUCACCCAUCAAAAUUAAACCAAAACUUUAUGAAAAACAUAAAACUUUUGAAUCAAAACUUCUAACCUUUUUGGUCUUGGCAAGAACUUCAAGAACAUUUGAAGAACACCAUCAAACUCAUAAUAGCUCCAUGAAUGUUUUCAUUCA
rnacentral:lncRNA from 1 species